UUUUUUCCCAAUUCUGGGGAAUUUUUUUCCAACUUUUUGAAUUUAUUUUUCCUUUUUUUUCCCCCCAUUUUUUCUCGAUUUUUGGGGGGAUUUUUCCCCCCCCAACUUUUAUUUUUUUUUCCUUUUUUUCCCAAAUUUUUUUUUUUUUUUUCCCAAUUUUUGGAAAUUUUUCCCUUUAUUUUUCCCCCAACUUUUAAAAUUUUUUCCCUUUUUUUCCCCAUUUUUCCCCAAUUUUUUUGAGUAUUUUUCCCAUUUUUCCUCCAACUUUUUUAUAUUUUUCACCCUUUUUUUAAAAAUUUUUUUCCAAUUUUUUCCAUUUUUCCCCAUUUUUCCCUCAACUUUUUGAUUUUUUUUCCUUCUUUUUUUUUUUUAUUUUUUCCCAAUUUUUCCCAUUUCUUCCCCAACUUUUUGAUAUUUUUUUUCCUUCCUUUUUUUCCAUUUUUUUCCCCAAUUUUUCCCAUUUUCCCCCCAAAUUCUGAUUUUUUUUUUCCUUUUUUUUCUCAUUUUUUCCCAAUUUUCCCCAUUUCUUCCUCAACUUUUCGAUUUUCUUUUCCCCUUUUUUUUCCUCAUUUUUUCCCAAUUUUUCUCUUUUUCCCCCCCAACUUUUCGAUUUUUCCCCCCUAUUUUUUUUUUAUUUUUUUUCCCAAUUUUUUCCAUUUUUCCCCCCAACUUUUGGAAUUUUUUCCCUCUUUUUUUUCCAUUUUUUCGCAAUUUUUUUCCCAAUUCUUCCUCAACUUUUUGAUUUUUUUUCUUCCUUUUUUUUCCCAUUUUUUUCCAUUUUCCCCCCAAAUUCUGAUUUUUUUUCCUUUUUUUUUCCUCAUUUUUUCCCAAUUUUUCUCUUUUUUUCCCCCAACUUUUAAAUUUUCUUUCCUUCCUUUUUUUUUUCUUCCCCAACUUUUUGAUUUUUUUUCUUCCUUUUUUUUCCCAUUUUUUUCCAUUUUCCCCCCAAAUUCUGAUUUUUUUUCCUUUUUUUUUUCUCAUUUUUUCCCAAUUUUUCCCAUUUCUUCCCCAACUUUUUGAUAAUUUUUUUCUUCCUUUUUUUUUCAUUUUUUCCCAUUUCUUCCUCAACUUUUCCAUUUUUUUUCCCCUUUUUUCCCAAUUUUUUGAGGCCUUUCCCCCC
rnacentral:lncRNA from 12 species